rnacentral:lncRNA from 1 species
CUAAGCCGGCCAGUAGCUGCUCCAGCCGCGGUCUUUAAAAUGGACAACGUCCCUCCUGCACGCGCUCGCCCACUGCUCCAUUUCUAUCAGGCGGCUCCUCCCAUGGCGCCAUUGCAAGCUCCCCUCCAGACCGGUUCCUUGGUUUCCUCGAAUCCCAGCAGCGAGCAGACGUCGUCCCCAUGGCGGGAGCUCCUUUCUCCCCACGCUCCAGUACCUCGCCGUGGGAUCCCCCUCUCCUCCUUGCUCCGGCAUCGACAUGGCCAGGGACACAACCUGCCGCAUCCUCCUGCUGUUCACGUGAGAAACCGAGGAGGAAGAAGACCUCCCUGAGCCAAUGACAUGUGGGCCCAGUGCCAAUGUGAGUGUGCACACUAAUUACAGAUUUUUGUGUUGUGUUCUAAAAUUCAUAUCUCGCGUUUUAGAGCUCCUAAAAUCGUGAAAUUUGUUUGGUUGUCUUCCUUAUGAAAUUCUCUAACUAUUGAAUCUAUAUGUUGGUAUGUUUUAGUGGAAAAGUUUUUCUGUAGAAAUUCGUAUUUGAAAAGUGGUUUAGAGAAUAAACGAACUUGCAUCUCUCCAUAGUUUUAAUUAUAAAAAUCCUAAAAUGAUGAAACUUGUUUUGUUAGUUAGAUGUUGUCAUACCCCAUCAAGGAAAAAUAUAAAACUUAUAUGUUGUUCACUGUUUUCUUGGUGUGUUAAUUAAAACAAGUUAAAUAGAGAAAAUAAGGUUUAUUUGCUUGUUAUUUUUGGAUCUGUAGCUCUGGUGCUCCAAAUAGGUUGAAAUUUUUAAAGUAGACUCUUGGUGUGAUGUUUGGUGACUGGUAAAGAUUUCAUGAAUUGUUGUGCAUGUAUGAUUAAGUUAGUGAUUUAACUUGUUUAAUGCACCUUAAGUAGUUUUAAAUGAUUUAAAAAUAAUGUAUAGAUGCAAAAAUGUAAAAUGGUGUUCCACUGUCCUUGCAUGAUAUUAUAGUAGCCUAAUAAAACUUAAUAUGGUCAUGAAUCCACAGAAAAUAAUUAGUUUUAGAUUUAACUUGCUCUCACAUGCUUUAUUGCAUUAACAAAUUGUUAUUUUUGUAUUAAAUAAAAUAUAAAACCUGGGCAUGUGAAAUUUAUACAUUAUUUAUAAUGGGUCAUUACCUAUGCCUCAUAAAAAUUACAGCCCCAAAUUAGAUAGUUUCAUUUGGUGCUAAAAUAACACCUAUUUUAUAAUUAUAAGAACAAUUAGUGGAAAAUUAGAAGUAAACAAGGGCAUGCAUGUUUCUUGAAAUACUUAAGUGAAUUGAUAUAAAUUGAAACUUAAUAACUAAGUCAUAAUGAUUUAAACUUAAGACAUUGGUGAUAGUGUCUCUCCAUGAUUUUAAUUGAUGAUUGAGUUGAGUGCUAUUGUGCUAGCAAACUGUAAUUCCUGCACGUACAGUUUUUGUCGUGCGGUUAAUCUAGUAAUGUAAAGUGUGUUUUCUGUAGAUAUGUGAUAUAUAAAAGUUAUAAUUAAAUUGUAUAUCUAGCUCUUCCAAAAAUUUCAUGAGCUAAGGAUUAAUGGUUUAGAAGUUAUACUUUUCACAAAUUCAGUACCGGAAUCUGUCCAAUUUCUGAACAGAUUUCAGAGAUUGCAAUGGUUGCUUAAGUUAAUUUUGAAAUAAGUUAUUGGUGGUCACAAGAAAGUUGUAGAUAACUUUAUUAUCUUACUUGUGUUAAAAUUUGACAGCCGUAAGUCUGAUCGUUUAGAAGUUAUGCUUUUCGCAAGUUUAGUAACUGAAUCUGUCCAAUUACUGUACAGAUUUCAGAGGUCGCAUUGUUUGAUUAAGUUCAGUUUAGAAUCAGUCCUUGUCAAUUAUAAGAAAGUUGUAGAUAAUGUUCUUAUCUUACUUGUGUUAAAUUUUCAUGACAAUAAACCUGAUAGUUUGAGAGUUAUGAAUUUUAUAAGAGGAUUGUUGUAUUCUGUCCACUGUCAGAGCAGAUUUAGAAAACUGAAUUGUUUGAUUUGGUUAAACAUAGAAUCACUUCUUGGUUAUUAUAAAAGUUAUGUAGUACUUUUCCUAAGAUUUCCAAAAAGUCUGGGAUCACUCUUUUUGGUGAUCUGAAGAUUUAGUUAGGGAUGUUUGAAGUGUGAAGUCUGAAUCUGUCCAAUUCUGGACAGCAAAGCCUGCUAGUGUCUUUUGUCCUUAGUUAAAUAUUGAAUCACCUUGAGAUGUUUAUAAAUUAAAUGUAGACAAUUUUAUUACCUUUCCAGAAAGUCUAGGAUCAAUUUGUUUGGAUGUCUGAACCUGUAGUUGUGAAUUUUUAAAGUCGCAAGUCUGAAUCUGUCCAAAUCUGGACAGAGCUGCUGUGUUAGCACAAUUCGACCUUGCUAAGAGUCUAAUCAUAUUGAGAUGAUAAUACCAAAGUUGUAGACCGUUUCCCAAGCUUUCCAAAAAGUAUUUGUUCACUAUUUUUGGAUAAAUAUUUGAAGAGUUAUGCCUGAAACAAGUAACUGUUGUGUUACUGUCCAAAAAUCUGCAAGUGUUUAAUUGAUUGUUGAGUUGACCCUUUUUGCUAAAAAUGUUUGGUUAGCCCUUAAUUAAUAUAGACUUGCCAUGGCUAAGUUGAGAUAACAUAUGUGUCCUGUUUUAUAUGUUUCUUUCUUUAGUUGAUUGUGAAGUCGUAUUUGUGUUGCGUAAGUAUCUAAAAUGUUGUCGUCUUUUUAAUGGUGUUAAUGAUGAACGCAGAUAACGUACGACUAGCUAGCGCUUGCGUAUAGUCGUUGCGGUGCCUUACGAUUUAAUGAUUAGUUUGCUACCGUCUGUUUUGGGAUUGUCUUAUAAUAUAUUUCAUCAUAUUCAUACAUAUGCAUCAUGCAUCUCAUUUAGGACCGAGAGAUGAUGAUCGUGCAAGUGAUGUGGUGCCAACCACAAGAUGCAGUUGGUGGACGACCUGAAGAAUGAUGGACUUAACCAGUGGAUGCUCGCCAAGCGAGCACCUCACCCAGCAAACACUAUCUAAGUGUUAAAUUAAAGGCAAGCCCCGG